rnacentral:miRNA from 14 species
ACAAACCACUCUGGUUUGCCUGGGACUGAGGGGGCUCCUCAGGGCUUGGGAAUUUUGGUGCUGAUGCUGAG